GAUGAACGCUGGCGGCGUGCCUAAUACAUGCAAGUCGAGCGAAUGGAUUAAGAGCUUGCUCUUAUGAAGUUAGCGGCGGACGGGUGAGUAACACGUGGGUAACCUGCCCAUAAGACUGGGAUAACUCCGGGAAACCGGGGCUAAUACCGGAUAACAUUUUGAACCGCAUGGUUCGAAAUUGAAAGGCGGCUUCGGCUGUCACUUAUGGAUGGACCCGCGUCGCAUUAGCUAGUUGGUGAGGUAACGGCUCACCAAGGCAACGAUGCGUAGCCGACCUGAGAGGGUGAGCGACCAAACUGGGACUGAGACACGGCCCAGACUCCUACGGGAGGCAGCAGUAGGGAAUCUUCCGCAAUGGACGAAAGUCUGACGGAGCAACGCCGCGUGAGUGAUGAAGGCUUUCGGGUCGUAAAACUCUGUUGUUAGGGAAGAACAAGUGCUAGUUGAAUAAGCUGGCACCUUGACGGUACCUAACCAGAAAGCCACGGCUAACUACGUGCCAGCCGCCGCCGUAA
rnacentral:rRNA from 1 species